rnacentral:rRNA from 1 species
CGGUUCGGUAAGUCUGCCGUGAAAACCUGGGGCUCAACCCCGGGCGUGCGGUGGAUACUGCCGGGCUAGAGGGUGGUAGAGGCGAGCGGAAUUCCCGGUGUAGCGGUGAAAUGCGCAGAUAUCGGGAGGAACACCAGUAGCGAAGGCGGCUCGCUGGGCCACUCCUGACGCUGAGACGCGAAAGCGUGGGGAGCGAACAGGAUUAGAUACCCUGGUAGUCCACGCCGUAAACGAUGAACACUAGGUGUUGGGGGAGUCGAAUCCCUCGGUGCCGCAGCCAACGCGUUAAGUGUUCCGCCUGGGGAGUACGGCCGCAAGGCUAAAACUCAAAAGAAUUGACGGGGGCCCGCACAAGCAGCGGAGCAUGUUCUUUAAUUCGAUGCAACGCGAAGAACCUUACCUGGGCUUGACAUGGUGCUGCAAGCGCACGGAAACGUGUGACCUUCGAGGGUGCACCACAGAUGCUGCAUGGCUGUUGUCAGCUCGUGUCGUGAGAUGUUGGGUUAAGUCCCGCAACGAGCGCAACCCCCGUGGUGUGUUGCCAGCAUUAAGUUGGGGACUCACACCAGACUGCCGGUGACAAACCGGAGGAAGGUGGGGAUGACGUCAAGUCAUCAUGGCUCUUACGCCCAGGGCUAGAAACGUGCUACAAUGGCGCAUACAAUGGGUUGCAAGACCGCGAGGUGGAGCGAAUCUCAUCAAGUGCGUCUAAGUUCGGAUCGCAGUCUGCACUCGACUGCGUGAAGC